UUGAAUCAGUAUGAACUCAGACUCUAUCAAUUUGGGUGUGAAUCGUGCACACAGUAUCUCUUUCUUUUGGAUAAAUCUUAAAUGGUCCAAAAUUUUUCAGUUCACUUACCAGUUUAGUCUAUUUUCUAUUUAAUAAAAAUGCGAAACCUUUGCGAUCGCGUAUCAGCACUAGCGGCCGGGGUACUGGUCGGAGCGUGGUAUGCAAAAACCUAUCCUUGUGAACUUCCUGACGCGGAAGCUGCUGCCAAGGCUGCCAAGGACAAAGCAAACGAGAAAGGCAAGAAGGCGGAACAGAAAACCAAACAAAAAACAAAAUAGGCUAAACUGAGUAAUCCUCUAAGAUCCUGCAAAUGGGACAUUGCUCAUUUUAGCUAACAAGAAAGAUACGCACUCCCAAAAUUCCAAUCUCGGAGAACGAAAGUAGAUAGAGCCUACCUACAAAUGAAGAAUCCCUCGAAGAGGCCCACGGAUCCGAAGAAGAUGUGUUUUUCUUUUAUUCUGAACUGUUUAUAAAAUCUACUCACCUGAUGGAAUCAGUUCUGAAGAAUGACGAGACAUUGAGGCACUAAAUAAAGUCAAAUGAUAUUAUAUAAUA
rnacentral:sRNA from 1 species